CGGGGUGCAGCAGGCGCGAAAACUCUACAAUGCAGGCAACUGCGAUAGGGGAACAUCGAGUGAUCCUCAUAUUGGGGGUCUGUCCACCCGUCUAAAAAACGGGUGUUAGCAAGGGCCGGGCAAGACCGGUGCCAGCCGCCGCGGUAAUACCGGCGGCUCGAGUGGUGGCCGAUAUUAUUGAGUCUAAAGGGUCCGUAGCCGGCUUUGCAAGUCUCUCGGGAAAUCCAGCGGCUUAACCGUUGGUCGUCCGGGGGGUACUACAUUGCUUGGGACUGGGAGAGGUAGGAGGUACUCAGGGGGUAGGAGUGAAAUCCUGUAAUCCUUUGGGGACCACCGGUGGCGAAGGCGUCCUACCAGAACAGGUCCGACGGUGAGGGACGAAAGCUAGGGGCACGAACCGGAUUAGAUACCCGGGUAGUCCUAGCCGUAAACGAUGCUCGCUAGGUGUCACAACAGUCGUGAACUGUUGUGGUGCCGUAGGGAAGCCGUGAAGCGAGCCACUUGGGAAGUACGACCGCAAGGUUGAAACUUAAAGGAAUUGGCGGGGGAGCACAAGGGCGAAUUCGCG
rnacentral:rRNA from 1 species